UCAGAUAAACAUUCUUCCUCAUAAUUUAUCAUAAAUAUGUAUGGUCUAGAUUACCUCUUUGUCCUUUGCUCUUAGGCAACUGUGUAUGUGUAAAUAAUUAGAAGGACAGGAUUCACUGAAAGAAGAGUUACAAAGUCUCUGUCACAGAAUAGAAUCUGUGAUACCUUUCUAUUACAUCCCGCAACAGAAGUUAUUACAUACAUGAAAAUAAAGAAACAUAAAUAUAUGUUAAAUAUGCCUAAACUUCAGAUAUUGUCCUUUUGUCUAAAAAUAAGUUGAGAUUUUUAUCUGGAUGGUGACAUGACAUCCAACUUGCUGAAGUACCUGUCAUUUGUGGACAGAACAUCAAAUGGGAAACCUAUCAAUGGGAAAAUUUCCUCUGAGAUUAUUCCUAGAUAGGGUAUUACAAUACUUUUGUUUGAUUUUUUUUUUUUUUUUUUUUGAGAAAUAGAGCCACUCUGUUACCCAGGCUGGAGUGCAGUGGCAUGAUCUUGGCUCACUGCAGCCUCAACCUCCUGGACUCAAGCAAUCCUCCCAUACAGGCACAUGCCAUUACACUUGGCUAAUUUUUGUUUAUUUUUUGUAGAGAUGGAGUUUUGUCAAGUUGCCCAGGCUGGUCUUGAACUUCUGGGCUCAAGCAAUCUGCCCACCUCGACCUCCCAAAGUGCCUGGAUUACAGGUCACAGAUGAAUCCCAUUGUCACGUCAGCUUGAGAGGAAGAAAGGCAGAAAAAACUUCCUCUUGCCCAGUGGUUGGUAUCAGAUGUCUUGUUUCUUGAAUCCCCAGAGCCUACUGCGUACUUGAAGCAGAGCUGUGCCUCAAGCUCCUUUGCUCUGGCACUACAGACUGAUCACUGUUCAGAGUAGCUUUUGCAAUCAGCACAGAGAACUCCAGUAUUCACCAGAGCCCAUGCCUACAAUAGCCACCAAGCCAAGCCAGGCUUCAUUCUUUCUUCCUUUCCUAUACACAGGGGGGGCUUCCCUGAGCUCAUGACACUCUUUGUGAUGGUCUUUUUGGAUAAAGGAGCAAAUGAGUUUUUGUUUGUUAGUGUUUACGACAAUUAUUUUUAAUCUCAUUUAGGACAGAGUUGAUUUUUGUUUUGUGUUUUGUUUUGCUUUGUUUUGUUGAGAGAGCAUUUCUCUCUGUUGUCCAGGC
rnacentral:lncRNA from 13 species